rnacentral:rRNA from 1 species
GACGAACGCUGGCGGCGUGCCUAAUACAUGCAAGUCGAACGAGAGCGACCGGUGCUUGCACUGGUCAAUCUAGUGGCGAACGGGUGAGUAACACGUGGGUAACCUGCCCAUCAGAGGGGGAUAACAUUCGGAAACGGAUGCUAACACCGCAUAGGUCUUCGAACCGCAUGGUUUGAUGAGGAAAAGAGGCGCAAGCUUCUGCUGAUGGAUGGACCCGCGGUGCAUUAGCUAGUUGGUGAGGUAACGGCUCACCAAGGCCGUGAUGCAUAGCCGACCUGAGAGGGUGAUCGGCCACAUUGGGACUGAGACACGGCCCAAACUCCUACGGGAGGCAGCAGUAGGGAAUCUUCCGCAAUGGACGCAAGUCUGACGGAGCAACGCCGCGUGAGUGAAGAAGGUUUUCGGAUCGUAAAACUCUGUUGUUAGAGAAGAAUAAGUGCUAGAGUAACUGUUAGCGCCUUGACGGUAUCUAACCAGAAAGCCACGGCUAACUACGUG